rnacentral:misc_RNA from 1 species
ACCGCGGCCAUUGUGGUCCGGAGUAUCGAGCAGUCCGGUCGCGAGCGUCCGUCGUGUUGCAGGUGCACACUCUCUUUCUCUUUCUAUUCCUCCCGACCCACCACUACUCACUCUCACACUCAAAUCCAGUUUUCAGUUUAGCCCGCGUACCUAAUCAUCAACUGCAUGCGGCACGGCACUUAUCGUAACCUCCUCAUUUUUGCACUGUGAGAGGAUUGUUGCACGGGCGACGUGCGGAGGUAUUGCGGGCACUGCAUCCGGUGUAUGGUGUAAGACAAAGUGGCCUCGGAUGAUUUCUCACGCGCCUUUUGCUGUGGCGGCGUGUAUGUGGGGGUGAGUGCGGGCGUGAUGGGGCGGGGGCAGAGCUCGCCCAUGGAGCUCGGCUAAGGUGGCGCGCCCCUGCCCGGCCGCCCGGCCCCCCCUCCGCCCUCCGCCCGCCGGCUCACACAUGGAGCCGGACCAUCGGGAGCAACGACUAUGCCAUAGGCCGAAAGCCUUUGACAAAAUGGAGACGCUGGUCAAAGAAAUGCAAGACACGGAGUCAGGGGGCGUGCCAGUAAGAAGUCAAAAGAUCUUUUUAACAUCCAUUCCUGCCGCUUUUAUGGGUUAUGAUCUGAUUGAGUGGCUAAUUAUGAGGCUUGAGAUAGAAGAAUCUGAAGCCUUAAAUAUAGCCAACCAACUAUGUCAAUACGGCUAUUUUUUUCCUAUCAGCGAUUCCAAGAACCUAGUAGUCAAAGACGAUAGCUCCCUCUAUAGAUUUCAAAACCAUUUUUAUUGGCCUUGGCGUAACAAACCUCCCGAUAACGUGGACUACGCCAUUUACCUCACGAAACGGUCGUUACGCAAUAAGCAGCGCCACGGUCUGGAAGAAUAUGAGUUCGAGGCUUUUACCAAUUUAAAAAGGAACUUAUCCAACAAGUGGGAUAUCAUCGUCGCCCAGGCAGAAGAACAGGUGAAGCAGCAAAAAUCGAUGAAAAAACCUGACAAGUUGAUCAGCGACUCACAGGAAAAGGCUUAUUGGAGGGUACACCGGCCACCACCAGGUAUCACCAGCUCGUUGGAGCAAGUUCCCGUACCUACGAGAUGCUGGAAUGGAAUUAAACCCAAGAAGAAAACUAUUGAGGACUGCAGAAGAGAGGUUGAGCUGCUAAGAACAAGUUUAUACAGGACAAGAAUAAAGGUUUCUCAAGCCUUGGAAGGACUGUUACAGCAUGUAGACACCUACACCGAGUACGACCCUUUGCUGGUACCACCCCAACCAUCAAACCCCUGGGUAAACGAAGAUAUCACUUAUUGGCAACUGAAUGCACCCUUAGUGGAAGUGCCCACGGAAAAGCGUGUAAAAAAAUGGAGCCUGUCAAUGGAAGACUUACUGUGCGACCCUACAGGGGUUCAGGAGUUUACGAACUACUUACAGAAAGAGAAAAGCGAGGAAAACAUUUUAUUUUGGCUGGCGGUGAACGAUUUAAGACGAUCGUCUCAGUCGCAGGUUUUGUGGAAAAUAAAGGAUAUUUACGAAAACUAUGUGAAACAUGGCUCGCCACGUGAAGUGAACAUCGACAACCAGACGAUGGAUAAGGUGUUAGAAGGAAUGAAGAACAACAGCAGGUUCUGCUUCGACGCUGCUCAGGAGCACGUGUACAAUCUGCUGCUGAAGAAGGACUGCUAUCCGAGGUUCAUCCGAUCGGAAUAUUAUAAGAAUCUUCUGUCCAAUGGGAUUCAGCCUCUACAAAAGAAACGAUUUUUCGGUUUUGGUCCGACUAAAAAGAAAUCGUCGACCAGUUCGCAACCGAACCAGUCUUCGUCACAGGUCGGCUCGGUAGCGAUACCGGCGUGCGGCGGCGCACUUAGUAAACGACGCGGUAGCGACCGAAGUUUGUCGGGUUCCGCGCAUGAAAUUUCCCAUUUUGGAGUGGGCAGCGGCACGCACACCACCGUCAUUAAGGAGCCAAAGGUGUCCCACUCGCACUCGCAGAGUAACUUGAGCGAUAUCCCUUAUAGGGGAGACCUAGACCUGAACAAAACCAGCCCGGUGGCCACCUACAGUCCGGUUAAGAAGCCGAGCAUUAUCCCUGCAGCCUCUACAUCUGAAGAAGUGUGUCCCUGGGAGACACCCCCGUCACCCCCAAGGACUCCUACGAGAAAUCGAAAAAAUUCCACCCAUAUGGACUCUGAAAGUUCCUCAUCUGAUAUUAGCGAACGGGUUGCGGAAACCAGCGAAAAGGUCCAACGCAGCUUACUUACUCAACAACACACCCUCGACUGUGGCAAAAAACUGCACACACUAGACACUUACGAAACCCCACGGAGAGCGUCUGUCUCGGUGCCAAUUACACACAGCACCUCGGGCAUAGAGGGCGCCCGACGUAAAGUGUCCUCCUUCGAGGACAACAGCAGCUCGAGCUCAACGGGAGUGUCCGCAAUAUUCGUGAUUCCUAGUGACAAAGACAAUAAAUCGAACGACGGGACAGGAAAGGUUCUACAAAAGAGUCACAGUAUGUCCAAAACGGGUUCGAUGCAUAGUGGGACGCCCAUUAUUAGCGUAAGCUCAGCUACGGAUGAUGUGAUUAGUGAAGGUGAUGGUCCCUUUGAUCCACCCGAGAUAUCUUUGGAAGAGGUUGCGGAUGAGGAAAAAGAUAAUAGUUCUACAGAUACAGCUAAGUUUGAGCCAGUGGCAGGGCCAAGUCAUUCCGAGCCGGUGCCCACAGUAACGAUCAGCAUAGAACAUAAAGCGCCGUUGGCCGAGCCGGAUAGCGAGUCGCCUGCUAGUGAACUUCCUCCUUCGGAAAUUACCUUGACCGAAGGAGAAAAUGCUGGAGCAGCAGCAGCUGAAGGAGAGCAGGCCAGUAAAGUAAAAGAAGGCGAAGAAGAUGAGGGUAGGAACACUGAUGUCUGCCCAUGGGAGGAUGAAGAAAGCUGCAGAGUAAAUACCCCAUUCGUUAAGAAAUACGCAACCUUAGGAUACCUUUAACCGUCAAAAGAAUUAUUUGUGUAAAACACGUCAUUAAAUCGCUUCUAGCUGAAAACCGUAAGAGUUCUACAGGCUGGGAGGUAGAGGUAAUUCUUGUAGAAUGUAGAACUGCAAAAGUAUAUAAGAAAAUAUUAUAGAUUCGUGUGCUACGUAAAUAUUAAGUAUAGAUAGGCUAAUUUUACUUGGUAUAUACAGUGUCUUUUUCCUCCUAGCCUAAUAUUGCAGAUGAAAAGUAAACAGUUUAAUGAAAGGUCUCAAGAGUUAAUUAGGCAUUGAAUUAUUUUAAUUCAGAGAAGCAACUUUGGUGUCAAUAUUUGCCAGCAAAUUCACUAAUAAAUACAAUACGACGUUCUACGAUAAUGCUGAGAAUUUUUCAGCUCAAACAUUCCUGGUGCUUACAUGUAACAAUCCAGAUGUUUACACAGAACGUUCCAGAAUAUUUAUCUGGAAUAUUCUUGCUAUAGAUUAGUGAGUUUAUGCUGUGAUUCUCUGGAAUAAUUUAAAAUGGCCUUUAACCUCUUAGAUCUGACAAUAAUGAAUAACAGAGAUUUUUAUGGAGGGUGGAACUUAUUACAGGGUUGAUAAAGAAAAGGCUGCAUUUGACAAAAUGUAAUUUUUAAAAAAAUUUAAUUUAUAUUAUUAAUGCGCGCACUUUUUGGAACGCACAUACUUAAUAUACAAAAGAUCAUAUACAUUUCUUAUAAUUAAUAUGAAAAAGGGGUUUUUGUUUGCUUUUAUUGUUUUAUAUCGUUUUAUCAAAUGCAGACUAUACGAACGUCUUAUAAAGAGACUAUUGGUGUUUUUAUGUGAUGUUUAUAUAAUAUAUUGUUUUCGGGAUUUAACAGAUAUAUUUUAGUGAUUCAUCAUAUAUUUAUAUAUUGGUCAAGGAUACAUUUUUUAAAUAUUUUUUAAUAGAAAAAAAAACAAUAUAUUUUAUAAACUUUCUUAUUGGUAAAUAUAAGGGGUUAUUUGAUUGGCAUGCCCUUUAUUGCAUUUAAAGUUAAUUUUUUCUUUUAUUUAUAUAUUUAAUAUUGUUAAGUUUUAAAAAAUGGCUUGAGAACCCUUUGAUUUGAAGAAAAAUUGUUUAUUUUUUUUAUUUCAAAAUUAUUUAUUAAAUUUAAAAAAAAACAGUUUUAACUAUCGCCAAAUGGCAAAGUCUAUUACGAAAGCCUGAUUUAAAUUAGUCGAUUACAUGGUUAAUAAUAAUGCUUUCAAAUGAACCUUCAAUAUUUUUUUUAAUAUUCAACGUGAAUGAAUAUUUUCGCGGCUUUAAUGAAUCAUCCAAGUGAUUAUGAUCAUAAAUUAUUCAAUUAAUAUUCACUCUUAUUAAAUGAAUUCAAUAUUCCUUAGCACUUAGUAUAAAUUAUCAUUUUCACAAGCAUUUAUACAUUUUACACAUAAUUUUAAGUGAAUUAUUAUCAAAAAUGGAAAAUAUCUCGCCCUUCAAGUUGAAUACUUGCAUGAAUCAUUCAAAGUGCUUUUAACCAUUGAAGAGGAUUGGAUUUAGGUGAAUUAACCAAAGCAAAGUAUUAAGUUUCCUUAAUAAUAACAGUCAAUCAAAUUGUGUAUAUUAAGGAAAUUGAAUGAAUAAAUAUAUCACUGUUAUCGCAGGAAUCACUGCUGAAUAAUUAAGUAAUUCACUUAAAGAUAAUAUUCCUCUGUAUAAAAAGUGAAUAGUACAAGGUUUAAUUCACUUCAUCAUCCAAAAUGAUUUUAACCAUUAAUAAAAAUAAAAUAUACGUAAAUCAAUUAGUCUGAGUUAUUAAGUGAAUUUAAGGAAAUGAGUGAUUAAUUGAAUUUUUGAUAAUGCAAAAGAGUAAAUCCUAAUUUAAUUUUCCUCAAUAUUUAACGUAAAUGAAUUCAGUUUCUAUUAUAAUGACGGUGAAUCAAAUUAGUAAAUACUUCGCCGUUCGUCACUGAAUGAAAGUUAUUUCAUAUGAUUCGCUUUUAUUGAUUCAUCCUAUAGAAUUUUCGAUAAUGAAGGGAAGUAACGCGUGGUUUAAUUUUUCUCAAUACUCCACGUGAAUAAUCAGUUUUGUGCCUUUAAGGAAUCAAUCAAAAUUAAUUAUUGUAUCUGUGGGAACCCUGAAAAUGAGUGAGUAUUUGAGAAAAUUAGUAAUUGAUUCAGUUAAUCACUUUUGCAGAAUCAUUUUUACUUUGGAUGAUUCAUCAUUGAUGUUGAUAAAGGAUUUUAGUGAAUGAUACGAAUGGGUAAUGAUACGAAUCUAUUUUACGAAAUUAAUUAUUUUACCUGUAAGAAUUCUGCAAAAGAGUGAAUAUUUGAGAAAAGUAGUGAUUGAUUCAGUGAAUCACUUUUGCAGAAUCAUUUUUACUUUGGAUGAUUUAUAAUUAAUGUUAAUGAUGUGUUGGGGAAUAUUUUAAUAGUAUUGGCAUUAAGAGGCAUAGCUAUUAUUUUUGAACUCUUUCACAGUGUUUAACGUGUAUUGAAAACCCAGUUUAUUUGGUCUGAUGAUGCCAUUUAAGGUAAAACGUGCAAAAUGUAAAAUUUUUGCGAUUUAUGUGGUCACUAGUCACUAUCAACUGCAAUCAAACUGAAAUUUCCAUCUGAUAAAAAUUGACAUUUCCUUGCAAAUAUUUUUUACAAGAAACCUUUUAACCAUCAUGUAUAUCUUUAUUGAGCCCAAGAUAUACACGGUGCAAAGUUUUCCGAAAAAAAAGAAACUUUCUAUUGCGUAAGUUUUGACACACAAUAUUAUAUACCUCAUAUUUAUAUUUAUGUGUUACAUUCUAAACUAUAUUAUAUAACUAUAUAUUCACUAUGUAGCUUAAAUGACACAGAAAAUUCAUAAAAAAGGGAUUCCGCAAGGGUUGUUGAAAAACGGUGCAGAACCCCGCGGAUCCGCCCAAAAAAAAAAUGUGUCGCAAAAAAAAUAUUUAAACUGUUAUAACAUUUAUGUGUCGUAGAGUAAAUAGUUGUUUAGCACUUAGGGUAAAAAUAGUCAAAAAUUCGUUAUCUAAGACAAAAAUUGUUGGCCUUUGCAACUUUUUUACAAAUCGGUAGUUUCCCUUUUGGCCAUUUGAUUGUCAUACUCAUUCAAAUCGCAUGCAGUUUCUAUAAUAAUAAAUUAACAAAACAGUUUUUUAAAAUAGACAUAGAGACGCAUUGAACAGGGCAGUACAAAGAAUUUAAAAAUAUGUGCCAAUAUAUAUGUUUAUUUUUUUAAACUCUUGGAUUUGAAAAUAGACCCAUUUGUGCCGGUUCUGUUUUAUAUGAUCCAAGAAAAAUUAUUGGUGGUGCAGGCUAAAGACUUAGAUAGAGGGUGGUUCAUGUUAUACAUAAAAAAGUAUUCUCUUGCUAUGUGUGUUUUAUUAUCUUCAUACUUACGAAGAAUUAUCACGAGAUUGCUUGCUCCCAGGUGCAAGCACGGUCCCAUGUGGAUCAAUUAAAAAAAAUACACAUCUUUCGGGUUUGAAUAACAUUUGACAACGCGGUGCAAUAUGCUGUCUUUAUGCCUUUUUCAUCAUGCGCACAGUCAUAAUUUUCACGUUUUUUAAAGUCAACGACGGUGCCGUCACGUUUACAAAUCAGACUUGUAAAGUAAAUAACGAGUUUUGCUUAUGAUGACGUUGGGUAUUACUAUAUUGAUCAUUCAGCAAAUCUAGUUUAUUCAAAAAGAAAGAUCGAUUGUAUUAAACAAAUAGAUAAAUAGUAAAUAAAGCAUACAACAUCAGGUCAAUUGAAUUUAAAAUUGGUUCGUAAACAGUAAACGAAAAGUCAUUGUUGACGUCAUCACAACAGUAAAAGUUUAUAAAUCUACAUUAACAGCAAGCAGCGGCAGCAAAAACGGCAUGGCUGACUUUUUAGGCUUGUAAACAGCAUGAUAUGCUGUUUACAAGCAAAUUAAUCACGCCAUUAAUUUGAAAAAAUAUGACCGGUGUUGCCGUAUAUUUGUGUAUAUUUUUAAAACUGAUCCACAUCAUUCGGGUUUGAAUAAUAUUUGACAAUGCGGUGCAAUACGCUGUCUUUAUGCCUUUUUCAUCAUGCGCACAGUCAUAAUUUUCAUGUUUUUUAAAGUCAACGACGGUGCCGUCACGUUUACAAAUCAGACUUGUAAAGUAAAUAACGAGUUCUGCUUAUGACGUUGGGUAUUAUUAUAUGGAUCAUUCAGCAAAUCUAGUUUAUUUAAAAAGAGAGAUCCAUUGUAUUAAACAAAUAGAUAAAUAGUAAAUAAAGCAUAGCAAUAACGGCGGAAAAAGUUUAUAAAUUGAUAAUGCGCGAUAGGAAAAACGAUACGUCUUCAAUGACCGUGCUUUUCAGCAAGGCAGUAUAUUGAAGUUGGCAGUAAAUGAUUAUUAAAUAAAUUAAGGAGUUAACGCAAAUAGUUAGUUCUAAGAUAUUCAUUUAUGACGUUGAUUGGCCGUUAGACCUCAAUGUUAUAAAUCAAUAGGGAAGAACAAUAUACCUACGGUAGUCGUGUUUUAGCAGACCUUGUAGAAAGCAUCUUGAACCUAUUUUUUUCUUAAUGAGGUCAGAGGCCACCACGACGUUACGUUUAUGAAUGCAACUUUCUAAUGUAUUUAUUUGCUCUUAAACAAAAAGUGAUUUGCUAUUGACUAAGCGUCAAGUUUAUAAAUCUAUUUUUAUGAUACAAUAAGACUGCUCUGCGCUGCUUUUGCUGCUAAAUGAUCUUGCUUUUCACAUAGAUGUAUAGACAGCAUAAUAAACUUGUUUGAUUCUUAAAAGCAAUAAGGUCAGGUAUGGAUUGGUCUACAAGCCAGUGGAUUGAAUAUCGGCUACAUAGCCCAAAAAUAUUUAAUAUAAUAAUAUGCUGUCUUCAUGGCCUGUCAGCGUUGGCAAUGUACUACAACUAAAGGUUCAGUUUUUAGAAAAUUGUACUUUUUCUGGUCAAAAAAUCAUCUGAAAGUCGUCAUCCUUUUUUUAAUAAUUUAAUGGUUUUAUUCGGGUAUUUCUGAUGUGAGCCACCCUUUAUAUAGGUGUUUAAUUGUUAUAAUUUAAGAAAAUUUAAUACAAAAAUAUUCAAAUUUUAAAAACCAAUAAGAGCGUAUUUUUUCAAGUCACCUUAAUAAAUAUCUAAGAAACAUUUUAAUUAAAAGAUAAAUUAGAAUUAAGAAUAUAAUAGCAUGUUAAAAAACAUAUAUUUAUCUAUCUAUUCAAAGAAGCUUUUGAUGUUUCGACUCUAUACUUAGAUUUUUAUAACCAGAUAAAUGGUUUCGUGUGAGUAUUGUCAAUAUUUUUGAAAAAUGGUUGGAAAUUUCAAAAAUUUUGAUUCUAUACUGCUAAAUAUAGAAUUAAAAAGCACAUAUUAAAGUCUAGACGUUAAGUUGAUAAGUAAAUAAAAAAUUAUUAUUAUCGCUUGGAGUAUUUUUGAAAACGUAAGCAUUCCAUAAUAGCAUUUUUAUUUAUUUAUCAAAAGGUAGAAUAAUAAUAAUAAUACUAAUAAUAACAAUAAAACAAUUAAUGCAAUUGAAAGAUUUUCAAUAUGAUAAAGUACUUGCAAGGAAGUUCAACUUUUAAAAUUAAAGAGUUCAAUAGACACUAAACAAAAGAAUAAUAGCAAUGUUUGCCUUAAUAAUAAUUUCAAUUUAAUUUAAUUAAAAAAAACAGUUUCCAAUCAAAUACCCUUUAAUUGUAUGUUUAAACUUAUAAUACCCUCUCUCGAUGUACGUGCCAGGCCAUACUAACUUAACUUUAGGCCUACAGUAUGAAUUUGUUGUUAAAAAUUACUUUAAAAACCAUCGUAGAACGAAAUUGUUGUCGCUUUGAAAAACAUAAUUUAAUGUAAAUAUAGGGUCUUUUAAAAUUACUGAAUUUUAAAAUUCUCUUUAUAAAACUUACGGCCUCAUAAGUAAGAGUAGUUCAAACAAAAUGUUAAUAAGUGUAAAUAUAGUCCUAAAGGGCCUAUGUGACGGCUAUAGGGCUUAAUAGGUAAGUAACUGGAAUACUCCUAGUUCAGAUCGUGUUGCAGUAGAUAUAUAGGCUGAACUUUUUGGGUGUUUUGGAAAAUAAAAUGUUUUUUUUGAGGGUGUUUUGUAAGAGGAGCAGAAGAAUUCGAGUAAAUCAUAUGGCGUUUUUGAUAAGAGAAUUUUUGAAGAGGGACGUGAGAAAUUAAAAAGAAAUAAUAAUGAAAAUAGAUCUCGACUGAAUGUCUUAAAUGCUAUACAAGGUAUCUAUAUAUAUUUUAUUUUUAAUACGAGAUGGUUAAAUAAAUGUUGAUGCAUUUUUUCUGCUGAUUAUCCUAGCAAAACCAGAAGAAUAAUUUAGUUCUUUUUCAAAUGGUACACUCGGGUUUUUUUUAAUAAAAAAGUUUAAAAUAAUAGAAUUAAUGAAGUAUAUGGUAUGUAUACAAAAAAUAUUCUAUUUCAACUUCCAUCAGCAGAAAAAAAACACGUCAACUUUGACGAUUUAUCCACCUUAAAGAAAGAAUAAUAGUGCUGUAUACACUUAAUUACCUAAAAUAUUGUAUCUAUUAUAGUUCAUUUGCAAUAGUGUCAUUCUCAUUUUUGAGCUAUUUUUUGAGUAAAUGUAUGCCUACUUAAGAAACUUUGGGAUUAGCUCUAAAUUUUAAUAAUAUAUAAUUACUUAAAGGUUGUGGCAUAAAAUCGUCUUUUAAGUGAGAAUUCUUGAUAAAAAGCCACGUUAUAAGCUACUAACAAACUUUGUAAUAAGUCGAUAAAAAUAAAUUUUAAAAAUACCUACAGUACUUGAUGUAAACGAAAAAGAAAUGUAACUAUUAUACUUUUAAAUGUAUGAUUAUUAGGGAUGUACAU